UACGUAGGUGGCAAGCGUUGUCCGGAUUUAUUGGGUUUAAAGGGUGCGUAGGCGGUCCUAUAAGUCAGUGGUGAAAUACAGCCGCUCAACGGUUGAGGUGCCAUUGAUACUGCAGGACUUGAGUACAGUCGAGGUAGGCGGAAUUGACGGUGUAGCGGUGAAAUGCUUAGAUAUCGUCAAGAACACCGAUAGCGAAGGCAGCUUACUAGGCUGUAACUGACGCUGAGGCACGAAGGUGCGGGGAUCAAACAGG
rnacentral:rRNA from 1 species